rnacentral:tRNA from 1 species
GAGAUAGUUACAACGAACUGCUAAUUCACAGCCCCGGACUAAACCCCCGGCCAUCUCU